ACGGUUUUACAGGAACUAAUUACAAGUUAUAUGCGUUAUAUUAUUACAAGAGAUAUGCUUAUGGCAAUUUUCAGGAUUAAAAAUUAAAAUUUUUUGGAAAGAAAGUCCCGGCUGGCUUAGCUCUAAAAUUCAUCAAAAUUAAAAUGUUAAUAUUUUUCGUUUUUUAUUUGUAUUUUGGCACUGCUUCCUGUAUAUACAUUCUUGAAGCUCGUUCUUGGGACGCCUAAUUUUACGAACCAGAAUAUCCGGAACAGACCGUGUCGUUCCCCCAUCACAAACAUUUAGAGCUGUACCCGAAAUUGGGUCGGCAUUUGAGUAUCUGAAGCGUUUGGCAGCAAAGAGGGCUGGGCAAUUGAAACGGCCUACCAACCUGGCCGACACCCAUACACGUGCAACUGGGAAGGGGGCUCACACGGAUAGGCAACCGCACGGUCCCUACACGGUAAUUAUCUAACAAGAUUACGCAAAAUGUUCCCCCCCGGCGAUGGAAACGGAAGCAGCGAGGGGGAAACGGGGGCUGCGUUUAGUUGGGGCCUGGGGAAGUUCGGGGGAAGGCGAGGCGAGGCAACAACGCCCGCUGACAGUGGACAGAAUGCAAAAUGUUGUUAAGUCGCUGGCAAAACGCUCCGAUGCACAAGUGGACUGUUGGGUUGGUGGUUAUGGCUGCAAGGGCGCAACAUCCGAAGAGCACCGGAUUGCAGCAGACGGAGGUGUUGGAUUACGGCGCUUAAUCCUGCGAAUUUCUCGCUUUUGCAACUGGCUUAAAGAGAAAGUGUGUCAGUCUCAGGUGUCCUUGCAUCUGCUGACGAAUUCCGCUUCCAGUCGGUCGGAUCAGCCACAGAUGCUGGAAUCAUUUGCAAUCCCCAUCGUGAGUUGGAUGUUCGGCAGGCAUCACCCAGGGGAAGUUGAAUUGGAUGGCAACAAACUGAUGUCGGACUGCAGAAGCCUAGAAACAUAUCGGGUAUCUGAACUAAUUACGUCUGAAUUAAACCGAGGUAAUACAAGGGCAUUGAACUAA